GACCUCAAAUCAGGUAGGAAUACCCGCUGAACUUAAGCAUAUCAAUAAGCGGAGGAAAAGAAACCAACCGGGAUUGCCUUAGUAACGGCGAGUGAAGCGGCAAAAGCUCAAAUUUGAAAUCUGGCGUCUUCGACGUCCGAGUUGUAAUUUGAAGAAGGCAACUUUGUAGCUGGUCCUUGUCUAUGUUCCUUGGAACAGGACGUCAUAGAGGGUGAGAAUCCCGUGUGGCGAGGAUCCCAGUUAUUUGUAAAGUGCUUUCGACGAGUCGAGUUGUUUGGGAAUGCAGCUCUAAGUGGGUGGUAAAUUCCAUCUAAAGCUAAAUAUUGGCGAGAGACCGAUAGCGAACAAGUACAGUGAUGGAAAGAUGAAAAGAACUUUGAAAAGAGAGUGAAAAAGUACGUGAAAUUGUUGAAAGGGAAGGGCAUUUGAUCAGACAUGGCGUUUGCUUCGGCUUUCGCUGGGCCAGCAUCAGUUUUAGCGGUUGGAUAAAUCCUCGGGAAUGUGGCUCUGCUUCGGUAGAGUGUUAUAGCCCGUGGGAAUACAGCCAGCUGGGACUGAGGAUUGCGACUUUUGUCAAGGAUGCUGCGU
rnacentral:rRNA from 1 species